UACGUAGGGUGCGAGCGUUGUCCGGAAUUACUGGGCGUAAAGAGCUCGUAGGUGGUUUGUCGCGUUGUCCGUGAAAACUCACAACUCAAUUGUGGGCGUGCGGGCGAUACGGGCAGACUGGAGUACUGCAGGGGAGACUGGAAUUCCUGGUGUAGCGGUGGAAUGCGCAGAUAUCAGGAGGAACACCGGUGGCGAAGGCGGUUCUCUGGGCCUUACCUGACGCUGAGGAGCGAAAGCGUGGGGAGCGAACAGG
rnacentral:rRNA from 1 species